rnacentral:tRNA from 1 species
AGCAGGGUAGACGAAUUGGUAAACUCAUCACGCUCAUGACCUGAAGACUGCAGGUUCGAAUCCUGUCCCCGCCU